UACGUAGGGGGCAAGCGUUGUCCGGAAUCAUUGGGCGUAAAGAGCGUGUAGGCGGCCCGAUAAGUCCGCCGUGAAAGUCCAGGGCUCAACCCUGGAAUGCCGGUGGAAACUGUCGGGCUGGAGUCCGGAAGAGGCGAGUGGAAUUCCUGGUGUAGCGGUGAAAUUCGUAGAUAUUGGGAAGAACACCGGUGGCGAAGGCGGCUAUCUGGCCCGUAAUUGACGCUGAGGCGCGAAAGCGUGGGGAGCAAACAGG
rnacentral:rRNA from 1 species